UACGUAGGGGGCUAGCGUUGUCCGGAAUUAUUGGGCGUAAAGCGCGUGUAGGCGGUCCGGUAAGUCCGCUGUGAAAGUCGGGGGCUCAACCCUCGAAUGCCGGUGGAUACUGUCGGGCUAGAGUGCGGAAGAGGCGAGUGGAAUUCCUGGUGUAGCGGUGAAAUGCGCAGAUAUCAGGAGGAACACCAAUUGCGAAGGCAGCUCGCUGGGACGUCACUGACGCUGAGGCGCGAAAGCGUGGGGAGCAAACAGG
rnacentral:rRNA from 1 species